rnacentral:ncRNA from 1 species
AACGCGUAUGCUGAAAAGCGUAUAACAGAGUAGGCU